ensembl:lncRNA
CUACUUCACUGAGACAGACAGAACGGCCACACCUACUUCACUGAGACAGACAGAGAGGUCACACCCACUCCACUGAUACAGACAGAGAUGCCACACCUACUUCACUGAGACAGACAGAGAGGCCACACCCACUUCACUGAAACAGACAGAAAAGCCACACCCACUUCACUGAUACAGACAGAGAUGCCACACCUACUUCACUGAGACAGACAGAACGGCCACACCUACUUCACUGAGACAGACAGAGAGGCCACACCCACUUCACUGAGACAGACAGAGAGGCCACACCUACUUCACUGAAAC